CCUACGGGUGGCAGCAGUGAGGAAUAUUGGUCAAUGGGCGAGAGCCUGAACCAGCCAAGUCGCGUGAAGGAUGACGGCCCUACGGGUUGUAAACUUCUUUUGUCAGGGAGCAAUUGGGUCCACGCGUGGGCUUAGCGAGAGUACCUGAAGAAAAAGCAUCGGCUAACUCCGUGCCAGCAGCCGCGGUAAUACGGAGGAUGCGAGCGUUAUCCGGAUUUAUUGGGUUUAAAGGGUGCGUAGGCGGACGCUUAAGUCAGCGGUAAAAUUGCGGGGCUCAACCUCGUCGAGCCGUUGAAACUGGGUGCCUUGAGUGGGCGAGAAGUACGCGGAAUGCGUGGUGUAGCGGUGAAAUGCAUAGAUAUCACGCAGAACUCCGAUUGCGAAGGCAGCGUACCGGCGCCCAACUGACGCUGAAGCACGAAGGCGUGGGUAUCGAACAGGAUUAGAUACCCCAGUAGUC
rnacentral:rRNA from 1 species